AUUGAACGCUGGCGGCAGGCCUAACACAUGCAAGUCGAGCGGCAGCGGGAAAGUAGCUUGCUACUUUUGCCGGCGAGCGGCGGACGGGUGAGUAAUGCCUGGGGAUCUGCCCAGUCGAGGGGGAUAACAGUUGGAAACGACUGCUAAUACCGCAUACGCCCUACGGGGGAAAGGAGGGGACCUUCGGGCCUUUCGCGAUUGGAUGAACCCAGGUGGGAUUAGCUAGUUGGUGGGGUAAUGGCUCACCAAGGCGACGAUCCCUAGCUGGUCUGAGAGGAUGAUCAGCCACACUGGAACUGAGACACGGUCCAGACUCCUACGGGAGGCAGCAGUGGGGAAUAUUGCACAAUGGGGGAAACCCUGAUGCAGCCAUGCCGCGUGUGUGAAGAAGGCCUUCGGGUUGUAAAGCACUUUCAGCGAGGAGGAAAGGUUGAUGCCUAAUACG
rnacentral:rRNA from 1 species